AGUGAACGCUGGCGGUAGGCCUAACACAUGCAAGUCGAACGGCAGCACAGUAAGAGCUUGCUCUUACGGGUGGCGAGUGGCGGACGGGUGAGGAAUACAUCGGAAUCUACUUUUUCGUGGGGGAUAACGUAGGGAAACUUACGCUAAUACCGCAUACGACCUACGGGUGAAAGCAGGGGAUCUUCGGACCUUGCGCGAUUGAAUGAGCCGAUGUCGGAUUAGCUAGUUGGCGGGGUAAAGGCCCACCAAGGCGACGAUCCGUAGCUGGUCUGAGAGAAUGAUCAGCCACACUGGAACUGAGACACGGUCCAGACUCCUACGGGAGGCAGCAGUGGGGAAUAUUGGACAAUGGGCGCAAGCCUGAUCCAGCCAUACCGCGUGGGUGAAGAAGGCCUUCGGGUUGUAAAGCCCUUUUGUUGGGAAAGAAAAGCAGCAGGUUAAUACCCCGCUGUUCUGACGGUACCCAAAGAAUAAGCACCGGCUAACUUCGUG
rnacentral:rRNA from 1 species